rnacentral:lncRNA from 1 species
AUAGAGGGGAAGAUUGCUGUACAUGCCGCCCUCAGCUCCGCUGUUCUGAGCACUCCGAGCACAGGGGAUGAGCUUGGGAUCAUCUUGGGGUUGGGGAAAAGCCCAAGAAAGGAAAAGCUGGCUCAACCCCAUUGAUUUCUGCUGCCCAACUUUACUCCGGGGGGCUAGCUAAACAGCAUCUCACUGCCUGCUGCGUGGCCAACAGGGGGUGAUUUUACCCAAAUUCUUGG